rnacentral:sRNA from 1 species
GAGAUCUGAAACCACAAAAGUUUCUCGUUACAGCUAUGGCCUCCAUUUAAAAUCGGAAAUGAUCACGCUUAACUGUCCUUGAGAGCAUUUGUUUAAAGUCAAUAUUUAACUUAACACUCCACUUAUUUCUUCUUACUCUUUCGUUAACUUUCGUUCUUUCACGCAUAGAGUCAACAUUCAUGAUAUCCUUGUUCUUCCCCAUCUUCAGUUACUCCUGAGGCGUGGCGUGUGAUGAUGUCCCUUAAAUCAGGUCUUUUGGCUGAGAGUACGUGGGCUUUGGACACUAUUAAUAUUCUUCUGUAUGAUGACAGCACUGUUGCUACUUUCAAUCUCUCCCAGGUAAGCCAGCGUAGUCCAACUAACAACCAAAUUAGGAUAGGAGAGCAUCAGGCCAUGCACAUUUGUGCUUGCACUAAUGCCUGAGUUGAUGAGCACUGACCAUCCAACACUGUUAAUCACUGCAGUUGUUAUCAACCAGGCUUAAUCAAUGUAGAGUUAUCUGGGAUAAUAUUCAUUGUAGUCUUUAGUGUGUGUACACACACAUACCUCUAUUUCUUAUGAGAGAACAGUGACUGUGUGUGUAAGUGUAUAUGGGAUAGAUGACAGUAGUAACAUUAAAUUGUUCAGAAUGAAUAUUAGCUAGCUGGCCAAUAGGAAGUAAUCAAAAUGUAACAUUAAGUUGUGACUGGAGUCAGCAUUGGAAACACAGUUGGUUGCAAUGGGACAUAACCCUGCUUUCCAGGAGGACUUGACAUCUUCUUUUCAUUAAAAAGAUAUUCAAGAUUUAGAAAUUUUAUAUUCUAUACAUUUAUAGAAUGUAUAAAUAUAUAUAGAAGGAGAGAGAACAGUUUAAUGAACCCCCAUGUACCUGUCAGUCCGCUAAAAUAGUUAUGAACUCAUGGCUAAACUUACUUCUUAGUCUAUGCUCUCUCAUUUCUGCCUCUCUCCAGGUUAUUUUGAAGCAGUCAUGUAAAAGCCUACUACUUUUAAUGAGCUUAAACCCCUCCUUUGUUCAGAGGUAGGCUUCAGGUAGCUUCCAGCAUAAUAGCUAGAAGAGAGGAGCACUGAAGUUUGGGGAAAAUGCCCGAGUCCACUGGGCUAUAGACUUUUAAAGAAAUAUUUAGAAAUAAAAAAUGGAAAAAGGUCAUUUUCCCUAUAGUAUACAAACAGCUCUCUACUUUGAGUGCAAAAACUAAAACACUUAAUUUCCUUGCUUCUAAGGAAAUAAGACCAGAAUCUUCUACUUCUUUCUUCUCUCAUUUAAGCCCUCAUUAUCAGCUUAGAAAGGCAAUUUUUCAAUUGCUAGAAAGUUUAUUAAUAAGGUCAUAAACAUUGUACGAGUUCUGUGUUAACAGAAAAUAAGUAUUUAAAAACUGUAUACUGCAUUUGCUAGAGUAAUGCGCUUUCAUCCUUAUGUUAGGUGAACUGUUGUUGAUCACAUAUUUGCAUAACCAGAAUUGCUUUAUUAACUUUCCCUUUUCCCCUGGAAAAAAAAGGGAAAAUGCCCUUGGAACAUUGUGCCUUCAGCACACUAAAAGCAAUUCUUUCUAGUUGGUGCUGGGGGCUUCCCCUGACUUCUUAAAAAUUGUUCCAACUCUACUUUCAAGAAACUGACAGUAGGAUAUGAAGGUAUAGCUGAUUUCCAGAACAUCUGCCGGGAAAGAAUCCUUGUUAGAAUCCUUGUUACUUACUCUUUAGAGUUCCUAAACAUGGUGGGGGGUGUUGGGAGAGAGGGCAGUUGCUAAUCGUGAAGUGUAUUGGUUUUUUCUUGAUACAAACAGUUGCUUAAAGGAAACCAAACUUGUUCUUGUAGUCAGUGGUUCUCUCAUAGUGGUUUUUGUCUUUCAGCUAGAGUCAUAAAUAACUGAAAUGUAAAAUUGCAUUUUAUGAAACAUUCUAAUUUAUUUAUCAUAGGCUAAAUUGAUUUGUUUUUAAUUUUCAGUGUUCAUGAGCUACCACAUUGCUGAAAUUAUCUUCUCCAAAAGAUAUAUAGAGAACAUAAAUUAGGGUGACCUAUGGUACCUGAGACAAAAAUAACCAUAAAAUCCUAAGAAUAACAACCAUAAAAAUCCCGGCAAGCAAGUCUCAGAUAAAUAAUAGAAGAGAACAGAGUCACUUUGGGCAAAAGAGUCUAUAAAAUCCAUGUUCCCACUCUUCUAAUAAUGAGUACAUUGUCUCUAAAUCAGGAACAGAAAGGUAAAGAACAGCAAGGCACUCCCUCAGUGAUAAGAUUAGAGAUGUGAGAAUAAAAAGUAAGUUUUCGUGUAGAUAGUCUAAGCAAGGAAGCAGCAAAUAAGGAACAUGCUAAACGUCGGUUUAGUUUAUACUGUAAAAUUCAGGAAGUUCACUGGACCUGAAGGGUAGUUUAUCUUUCGUGGUCCAGCCAAAAAGGGAGACAAACGUGUGACAAUGAUGGAAAGGUAUUGACGGGUCUCAGGAUCUUUACCCUCCUCGGUCAUAUCUGAUGUCAUGACAUUGUACCUGUUCUUUCUUUCUUCUCCUCCUCCUCCUCUCCAGUUGUCUGGAUUUCUCGAACUUUUAGUCGAGUACUUUAGAAAAUGCCUGAUUGACAUUUUUGGAAUUCUUAUGGAAUAUGAAGUGGGAGACCCCAGCCAAAAAGCACUUGACCACAACGCAGCAAGGAAGGAUGACAGCCAGUCCUUGGCGGACGAUUCUGGGAAAGAGGAGGAAGAUGCUGAAUGUAUUGAUGACGACGAGGAAGACGAGGAGGAUGAGGAGGAAGACAGCGAGAAGACAGAAAGCGAUGAAAAGAGCAGCAUCGCUCUGACUGCCCUGGACGCCGCUGCAGACCCAAAGGAGAAGCCCAAGCAAGCCAGUAAGUUCGACAAGCUGCCAAUAAAGAUAGUCAAAAAGAACAACCUGUUUGUUGUUGACCGAUCUGACAAGUUGGGGCGUGUGCAGGAGUUCAAUAGUGGCCUUCUGCACUGGCAGCUCGGCGGGGGCGACACCACCGAGCACAUUCAGACUCACUUUGAGAGCAAGAUGGAAAUUCCUCCUCGCAGGCGCCCACCUCCCCCCUUAAGCUCCGCAGGUAGAAAGAAAGAGCAAGAAGGCAAAGGCGACUCUGAAGAGCAGCAAGAGAAAAGCAUCAUAGCAACCAUCGAUGACGUCCUCUCUGCUCGGCCAGGGGCAUUGCCUGAAGACGCAAACCCUGGGCCCCAGACCGAAAGCAGUAAGUUUCCCUUUGGUAUCCAGCAAGCCAAAAGUCACCGGAACAUCAAGCUGCUGGAGGACGAGCCCAGGAGCCGAGACGAGACUCCUCUGUGUACCAUCGCGCACUGGCAGGACUCGCUGGCUAAGCGAUGCAUCUGUGUGUCCAAUAUUGUCCGUAGCUUGUCAUUCGUGCCUGGCAAUGAUGCCGAAAUGUCCAAACAUCCAGGCCUGGUGCUGAUCCUGGGGAAGCUGAUUCUUCUUCACCACGAGCAUCCAGAGAGAAAGCGAGCACCGCAGACCUAUGAGAAAGAGGAGGACGAGGACAAGGGGGUGGCCUGCAGCAAAGAUGAGUGGUGGUGGGACUGCCUCGAGGUCUUGAGGGAUAACACGUUGGUCACGUUGGCCAACAUUUCCGGGCAGCUAGACUUGUCUGCUUACACGGAAAGCAUCUGCUUGCCAAUUUUGGAUGGCUUGCUGCACUGGAUGGUGUGCCCGUCUGCAGAGGCACAAGAUCCCUUUCCAACUGUGGGACCCAACUCGGUCCUGUCGCCUCAGAGACUUGUGCUGGAGACCCUCUGUAAACUCAGUAUCCAGGACAAUAAUGUGGACCUGAUCUUGGCCACUCCUCCAUUUAGUCGUCAGGAGAAAUUCUAUGCUACAUUAGUUAGGUACGUUGGGGAUCGCAAAAACCCAGUCUGUCGAGAAAUGUCCAUGGCGCUUUUAUCGAACCUUGCCCAAGGGGACGCACUAGCAGCAAGGGCCAUAGCUGUGCAGAAAGGAAGCAUUGGAAACUUGAUAAGCUUCCUAGAGGAUGGGGUCACGAUGGCCCAGUACCAGCAGAGCCAGCACAACCUCAUGCACAUGCAGCCCCCGCCCCUGGAACCACCUAGCGUAGACAUGAUGUGCAGGGCGGCCAAGGCUUUGCUAGCCAUGGCCAGAGUGGACGAAAACCGCUCGGAAUUCCUUUUGCACGAGGGCCGGUUGCUGGAUAUCUCGAUAUCAGCUGUCCUGAACUCUCUGGUUGCAUCUGUCAUCUGUGAUGUACUGUUUCAGAUUGGGCAGUUAUGACAUAAGUGAGAAGGCAAGCAUGUGUGAGUGAAGAUUAGAGGGUCACAUAUAACUGGCUGUUUUCUGUUCUUGUUUAUCCAGCGUAGGAAGAAGGAAAAGAAAAUCUUUGCUCCUCUGCCCCAUUCACUAUUUACCAAUUGGGAAUUAAAGAAAUAAUUAAUUUGAACAGUUAUGAAAUUAAUAUUUGCUGUCUGUGUGUAUAAGUACAUCCUUUGGGGGUUUUUUUUCCUUUUUUUUUUUAACCAAAGUUGCUGUCUAGUGCAUUCAAAGGUCACUUUUUGUUCUUCACAGAUCUUUUUAAUGUUCUUUCCCAUGUUGUAUUGCAUUUUUGGGGGAAGCAAAUUGACUUUAAAGAAAAAAGUUGUGGCAAAAGAUGCUAAGAUGCGAAAAUUUCACCACACUGAGUCAAAAAGGUGAAAAAUUAUCCAUUUCCUAUGCGUUUUACUCCUCAGAGAAUGAAAAAAACUGCAUCCCAUCACCCAAAGUUCUGUGCAAUAGAAAUUUCUACAGAUACAGGUAUAGGGGCUCAAGGAGGUAUGUCGGUCAGUAGUCAAAACUAGGAAAUGAUACUGGUUUCUCCACAGGAAUACGGUUCCAUUAGGCUGGGAGCAAAAACAAUGUUUUUUAAGAUUGAGAAUACAUACCUGACAACGAUCCGGAAACUGCUCCUCACCACUCCCGUCAUGCCUGCUGUCGGCGUUUGACCUUCCACGUGACAGUUCUUCACAAUUCCUUUCAUCAUUUUUUAAAUAUUUUUUUUACUGCCUAUGGGCUGUGAUGUAUAUAGAAGUUGUACAUUAAACAUACCCU